rnacentral:rRNA from 1 species
UACGUAGGGAGCAAGCGUUGUUCGGAUUUACUGGGCGUAAAGGGCGCGUAGGCGGCGCGACAAGUCACUUGUGAAAUCUCCGGGCUUAACUCGGAACGGUCAAGUGAAACUGUCAUGCUAGAGUGCAGAAGGGGCAAUCGGAAUUCUUGGUGUAGCGGUGAAAUGCGUAGAUAUCAAGAGGAACACCUGCGGCGAAGGCGGGUUGCUGGGCCGACACUGACGCUGAGGCGCGAAAGCCAGGGGAGCGAACGGG